UUUCCGUAGGUGAACCUGCGGAAGGAUCAUUAACACAAACUGCGGCUGCGCAUGUGCACGUCGCCCCUUCACCGGGGACCCACGAUUGCUGCUGGCGCUCCGCAUUUGGAUCCAUAUCCAUUUACCCCUGUGAACUGUUAAAGUCUUUCCAUAGUGAAAUUAACACCAUGUGAAUGACGUUUGACUGAACUCUAGAAGCGGCAAGCGCGCGCAAGUGUGCACGCCGUCUUCGAUCAAAUCUUAACCAAAAACAACUCUUAACAACGGAUAUCUUGGUUCUC
rnacentral:misc_RNA from 1 species